AUACGGAGGGUGCAAGCGUUAAUCGGAAUUACUGGGCGUAAAGAGUACGUAGGCGGCCUACUAAGUCAGAUGUGAAAGCCCAGGGCUCAACCUUGGAACUGCAUUUGAAACUGGUAGGCUAGAGUAUGUUAGAGGGGGGUAGAAUUUCUGGUGUAGCGGUGAAAUGCGUAGAUAUCAGAAGGAAUACCAGUGGCGAAGGCGGCCCCCUGGCCCAAUACUGACGCUGAGGUACGAAAGCGUGGGUAGCGAACGGGAUUAGAAACCCCUGUAGUCC
rnacentral:rRNA from 1 species